CGGGAAUUUUGCUCAAUGGGCGCAAGCCUGAAGCAGCAACGCCGCGUGAGGGAUGAAGGCCUUCGGGUUGUAAACCUCUUUUCUCAGGGACGAUGAUGACGGUACCUGAGGAAUAAGUCACGGCUAACUACGUGCCAGCAGCCGCGGUAAUACGUAGGUGACCAGCGUUGUCCGGAUUUACUGGGCGUAAAGAGCGCGCAGGCGGUCGUUCAAGUCGAGUGUGAAAGCCCCCGGCUCAACUGGGGAGGUCACUCGAUACUGAUCGACUUGAAGGCAGGAGAGGGCAGCGGAAUUCCCGGUGUAGUGGUGAAAUGCGUAGAUAUCGGGAGGAACACCAGUGGCGAAGGCGGCUUCCUGGCCUGUUCUUGACGCUGAGGCGCGAAAGCUAGGGGAGCAAACG
rnacentral:rRNA from 1 species